AAAGCAAUUGGCAUUUGGAUUCUUGGGAAUGCAGUAGUUCAAAUCCCCAACAAAAACUAAGCAGGAUCCGGUCACUUGUUGAUGUUCGUAGUCAGUUGUUGCAUCGCUCACUGCUGGAGGAGAUUCAUAAAAGGAGAUUGUUCAAGACUGUGGGAGAUGUUGAAAAUAUUGGAUUUCAAAAGUCUGGGUUUACAGAUGAUGAAAAGCAAAGAUUUAAACGGUGAGAAAAAAAGAGAGGAACAUCCCAUUUAAUGUUCUUUUAAUUAGUUGAUGGAUA
rnacentral:misc_RNA from 1 species